rnacentral:tRNA from 1 species
AAUAAAAAAGCAAAAUUUGCAAUUGUUUUCGACACAAUCCUUGACUAAUAAUCUUUUAUUA